ensembl:lncRNA PAXBP1-AS1 PAXBP1 antisense RNA 1
GAAAAUUAAACACGCACACAGGAGAGAGAGAGAGAGAAAAAAAAGUGAUGUGAAGACAGCAGCAGAGAUUGGAGCGAUGUGGCCAUAGCCAAGCUAUGUCAGCAGCCAUCAGAAGUUGGAAGAGGCAAGGAAGGAUUUGAGCCUAGAGCCUUUGGAAGGAGCAUGGCCCUGUUGGUUCUGGCCUCCAGAACUGCAAGAAAAUACAUUUUUGUUGUUUUAAACCACCCAGUUCAUGGUAAUUUGUAACACCAGCUACAAGAAAUUAACACAAGGCUGAUGUGACUUUCCAUCAGGAGAGAGACAGCCCCAGCCACCCUGUGAAGACGUGCCUUUCGUCAAGAUUGUAAGUUUCCUGAGGCCUUCCCACCCAUGCGGAACUAUUCAUGAACCAUUGUUUGGGGAAACAAUUGAUUACCUGUGGAGAAGAAAGACGUAAAAUAAAAUAGUUAAGACAGAAUAAAUUAAAGUAUUAAAAGCAAA